UAUUAUAAUAAUGCCUUUUUGCCUUUUUUUUUUUUUUUUUUAAACCUGGCCUCUGGGUUUGCCAUAAAGCCUAAAAGGGGCUUAAGAAAAACAUUUUAAAAAUUAAUAUGUGAUCUGAAGUCUUUUCUUGUAAGCCACAAGCUAAAGUAAUCAUCUCUCAAUCUGGCUGGUGUGGCGAGUGUGCUGCCUGAACGGUGAAAUAGCAGUACUACUGCAUUUUUCUCCUCGAGCAUAAAAUUGCUUGUGGAGCAUUGAAGUCAGUUAUCCAGUGAAAUAAAGCGAGCACGCUUUGCAGGUACAUGAUUGUUUAGAGGAACUUAAGAAAAUAAUUGUGAAUUGUGCAAUGAAUGAUCAUUGCUGACGCCAAUUCAUCAGGGAAUGUGGCAUCUCUGUGAUAAAGAAGAAAUAAGGGUUCUUGAAAAUCGGCAGUUUGGGAUGGUCUUAUCUACAGAACUUGGAAGACAAAUGCAGAACAUUCGGGAAUUACAUAUGCCCUCAGCUGAGAAAUAAUGCUCAGGGUUGGUCUGCUGGUAAGUGAAAGGAGGAUAGAGUAACGUGGAAAGCAGCUUUUAUUCACUACAAGGACAACUAAUGCACAUGCAACCAAGGGCAGAGUUAGUCUCUAGGUGCAUAUAUUAGCCUAAGGGUAUUGUGGGUCCCUGUGUCUUAGAAAACUCUAAAAAUAAUUACCCUGUGAUUAGUAUCUGAUGCCAAUGGUAUAUUUUCACUUUAAGAGUCUGAGGUCUUUAUUUCCUUGAGACAAUGAAUGAACUUCUUUUCACCUUGUUCUUGGCUACUUUGCUUCCGCUCUCAUAACAAAGACACGUACCCAGGCAUGUGCAGGGGCAGACUGCCCUCUGCCAAUGGUGGAUUUUCUAAUAAAACGCUUUCUCUUCAUGUUACGAUUCUAGUCUAGUCAAAUUAGAAAUACUUACUAAUUCCCUUUUUAUAUCUUUAAGGUGUAUAUUCUCUACCAGGUGGUGUAUCAACAGGAAAAAGAAAUUAACAUUUUCUUCUUGAUUCUAUCUAAUGUUUCCGUCUGUAAGUUUCCCGAAAUGUGGGAAACAGAGACACAGUAGUGCUCUUUCCAGCUCAAGCUCAUUAAUAAAAUUUUGGUCAUGUUCAAA